rnacentral:tRNA from 1 species
GCAGCUGUGCCCUACUGGUUAGUGCCUUGGACUUGUAACCGGAGGGUUGUCAGUUCGAACCCGACCAGUAGGA